AGGCCAGUAGCUCAAUAGGUAGAGCGCCGCUCUCCAAAAGCGGAUGUUGUGGGUUCGAUUCCUGCCUGGCCUGCCU
rnacentral:tRNA from 1 species